rnacentral:piRNA from 1 species
UAACGAGUAAAUCUCAGGUCACUACCCCA